GGAGAGAUGGCUGAGCGGUUGAAGGCGCACGACUGGAACUCGUGUGUAGGCUAACCCCUACCGAGGGUUCGAAUCCCUCUCUCUCCG
rnacentral:tRNA from 1 species